rnacentral:tRNA from 1 species
UAGCUCAGAGGUUAAGAGCACUGGCUACUCUUCCAGAGGUCCUGGGUUCAAUUCCCAG